rnacentral:lncRNA from 10 species
GACAGGGUUUCACCAUGUUAGCCGGGAUCGUCUCGAUCUCCUGACCUCAUGAUCCACCCGCCUCGGCCUCCCAAAGUGCUGGAAUUACAGGCAUGAGCCACUGCGCCCGGCCUGGAGCAGCUGGCUCUUUACGGCAUCUGGGAAUUGGAGCCGAGGGGAGGUGGGGUUGUGGCUCUGAAGCCCAGCCAUGAACAUCCAGGAUUCUCUCUCUCCUUCUUAUAGCUGAUGCGACGAAGUGAGACAAGCCCCAGGUGCCUUUCCCGGCCCUGCACUUUAUUGGCACAGGCUACAAGGCCCAGAGCACAGAUGAAUUUAGAACAGCCCAGGACCGAUGAGGAUGUUGCAGCCUUCGGUGGUGUGGAAACGGGUGAGGGGUGAGGCGGCGGAUAAGGACUUGGACAAAUCUUUUUGCAGAGAUGUACGUUUCUGCCUCAGGAAGCUGGUGUAAGGAUAAGAAUGACUCAAAGAUCCCCUUAGAAUUGGGAAACGGGAGCUUCAUACUGCUCAGGAAAUCACACUGAAACCGAGGCCCAGGGCAACAGUGGAAACUCAGGAGUGAAAAGCAAGAAUCUAAGUCACGGGACGUUCCAUUGCCCUCAUGCUGUACCCUGGGAACUCACUUUGGGUAAUUACCAAGGAAAAAUCAGAAUCUUGGAUCCCAGGAAGAAAGGUGCACCAUGCUUGGUCCCUGGUUGGCCCCACCUCUCUUUACGACCACCUACGAAGAAAGCAUGAUCUGAAAUUCCAAAGCUUUCUUCCUUUACUAUCAGGCUUUCUGCCCCGCCCCCAGCAAUGCAGAGACAUGCAAUGUGAAAACCCAAUCAACCCGUCAGCAAGUCCUGGUUUUACACCCCUUCUUGUCGACCUGGUGGUUGGGGCCUUCUGCAGGCUGAGUGGCAGGUGGCUUGGGAAAUGAAACCCUUAAUAAUCACCCAAAGCUAAUUCUCACCCACAAUGACCAGAGUAAUCUUUGCCCAACUGAGGUCCAGACACCGUGGCUGUGAGGGUUAAUUUUAGGGAAGUUGACUGGACUGAGGGAUGCAGAGAUGGCAGGUGACAGAAAGAAUGUUUCUGGGGGUGUCUGUGAGGGUGUUUCUGUAACCGAGCCUGAUGUGGUUUUGAUCUGUGUCCCCACCCAAAUCUCAUGUUGAACUGGAAUCCCAAGUAUUGGAGGUGGGGCCUGCUGGGAGGUGAUUGGAUCGUGGGGGUGGAUUUCCCAUAAGUGGUUUUGCACCAGGAAUCCUCUGGGUGCCGUACUCCCAAUAGUGAGGGAGUUCUCUUGAGAUGUGGUCAUUUAAAAGUGUGUGGCACCUCCUCCCUCCCUCUGCUUCUGCUCUGGCCAUGUGAUGAUGUGCCUGCUCCCCCUUUACCUUCUGCCACAAUUGGAAGCUUCCUGAGGCCUCCCCAGAAGUCAAGCAGGAGCCAGCACUAUUCUUCCUGUACAGCCUGCAAAACCAUGAGCCAAUUAUACCCCUCUUCUUUGUAAAUUACCCAGUCUCAGGCAUUUCUUUUAUUAUUAUUA